rnacentral:rRNA from 1 species
AUUGAACGCUGGCGGCAUGCCUUACACAUGCAAGUCGAACGGUAACAGGUCUUCGGAUGCUGACGAGUGGCGAACGGGUGAGUAAUACAUCGGAACGUGCCCGAUCGUGGGGGAUAACGAGGCGAAAGCUUUGCUAAUACCGCAUACGAUCUACGGAUGAAAGCGGGAGAUCUUCGGACCUCGCGCGGACGGAGCGGCCGAUGGCAGAUUAGGUAGUUGGUGGGAUAAAAGCUUACCAAGCCGACGAUCUGUAGCUGGUCUGAGAGGAUGAUCAGCCACACUGGGACUGAGACACGGCCCAGACUCCUACGGGAGGCAGCAGUGGGGAAUUUUGGACAAUGGGCGAAAGCCUGAUCCAGCCAUGCCGCGUGCAGGAUGAAGGCCUUCGGGUUGUAAACUGCUUUUGUACGGAACGAAAAGCCUCUUUCUAAUAAAGAGGGGUCAUGACGGUACCGUAAGAAUAAGCACCGGCUAACUACGU